CGAGAAUAAACAGCCAAAAUCACUUCCAAUAGUUCAUGUUACAAAUUUGAUCAUAAAAAUAUAAAUCCUGCAACUAAUGAGCCAACUGCAUUACAUGGAUAAUAUCAAUUUUUGGUUAAAAUUCAUCUUUUUCCAAAAAAAGAAAAAUAAAAUCAUAAUAAACAACAACAACCGUGGCUAAUAACUCAGCAUUUUGUUGUUUGUCAAGCUGAUUUUUAACUCAAAACACAAAAGAAGAAAAAAUUGGACUCAAACCUGUCAACCUAAAUGAUUCUCUAAUUUUUGAGGCAGCUGGUGAAUGUAUUCUUUUAACUUUUUGCUGUAGAUUUAUUAUUGGCCGGAUUGUACACGCUGAACUCCCCGAAGUCCCUUUUGCCACUGUGCAUUACAUCCCAACCAGCAGGUAAGAAGCGAGGAUGAGUUGCUUCAACAAAAACUUGUCUCCAUCGCCGACAAAAUUGAUGAAUGCCAUCUUCUCCAUAUUCUUUCAUUAUGUGUUCCACAACUCGCUUUCCAUGUGGUCCAUGUCCUAACAGAGAUAACUUCGAAUUAUUUUCAGGCAAAGUAUUUUCAUCAUGUCUAGGAUAAUUUAUGCCAACUGCUUCCUUUGGUGGACUUCUUUCACAAUUCUCAUAAGCGUUCACGGCAGAAAUUUCUUUUAUAUCAGAAAUUUCAUUUUCAUCUAAAUUCAUAUCCUUAUAAGCAGUAGCAGAGACUGCUGUGACUUGUAGAUUAGAACAGACACUUGAAUUGUUGUCUGUUACGGUGAAAUAGUCUUUAUCUUCCUUUACAUCAGUUAGAUCUGCUCGUAUAAUUUGGGAACCAUCUGGAGUAUCAACUUCAGAUGUGUUCUCAUUGUAAGAUUUGACCACGGCAACAGCAUCAUGAAUCUUCUUGUUGUUUGGAAGGAUAUUAUAAGAAGAAUAUUUUGAAGAAAAUCCUCUCUUCUCAAAUCGUCUUCUUUCAUGAGGACUCAUGCCAACCAGCAAAGCUCUUUUCAAAUCUUCCUCGGUGAUCUCCCUUCCUCCAUAAUAUUGUGUAACAAUCUGUGUUAGUUCUUCUCGGCGCCUGGGUGGCAUGCUGGAUCCAUGACGCAAAAGAGCCAUUGCAGCAGUGCGCAAUUGUAAAGGAGACACCCCUGCCUCCUCAGCAUUUAUCGUUGAUGAUGGUAGCCCGGGUAAAGCAGGGGCCUCUCUAGAAUCAACCACUUUAUGAACAAAUAAUGGAAUUCCAAAUUCCACAGCUACCUGUUUUUUGUGUUUCUCAGCAGCAGCAUGAGCAACUUCAUGACAGUCCACGCAAAGUAGGACAAUAUCAUGAGAACGAUGGCUUUUCAAAUGCUCAGGGAAGUGCAUUCUGUAGCAUGAUGGGAUUAUUCGAUACCUUAAGUAAUGACUUCCCUCACCACAGCUGACACAUAUAUUUUUCUUACUUUGGAUGUAAAAAUCAUUAUCUUCAUCUUCUGGACGACCCUUUGGUUCAAAAAGAAGCAUUAUGGCAGGGGGAUUUUCAUCAAUAAGUUUUGCCAGCUCUCGUCGGAGGUACCAUUCAAGCUUUCUCUGAUCACAGUAACAAAGCAACCGUCCAUCAUUUGCAUAGAUCCUACAGUUAUGAUACACCGGAGAUUUGCAGGAGAAUUUUUGAACAAAAAGUUCUCGUGAAGCCUUCCGAGCAAAUUGCCUAGAAUUUUUAACCCCGUUCUUUUUGGAAACUGAUCUAUUUGUUGGUCUCAUGUCAUAGUUAGCCAAUAAUGCAUAAUUAUAAACAGACAAUGGACAACUCCCAUUUUUACCCAGGCAUUUUUGAAGAAGCACUGAGAAAAUAUCAUCAAGGUUGCUUUUACUUUCCUGCAUUAAGGAACAAAAAUCGUCCAAAUGACUGCAAACAACAGGGGAUGGAGAUGGCAGAGAUGAAUUCAAAUUCAUAGGAUCCACAUUCAUAUCAGCUUGAGCAAUGGUGUCACAUAUUUCUGUCGGAUCUAUUGGAACCUUGUCUGCAAUAGAAACAAUGGCCUGGUCUGACAAUACAUAUCUUAAGCUCUCAUCAUGCACACGAGCUUAUAAGAAUGUCCACACUAGCAAUUAUGAUCCUCAACAUGAGAUUUGCAUCCUUUGCUUCCUGCAUGGUAGUGCCAUGAGCAAAAGCAUGGUCAAACUCCACAAACAUUCAACUGAAAAUACUUCUAUAUUAUGAUAUAAAAUCAUAAGGGAAUACUCUUUCUGAUCUGACCAUCAGACUCAACCUAAGCCAAGAAGUCAAGAAAGGCUUUGUGCUUGCAG
rnacentral:misc_RNA from 1 species